rnacentral:ncRNA from 1 species
UUAUUAUAAUAGUAAUUAAGUUUAAUAUAAGAAGAACUAUUUAUUUAGAUAAUUAGUUUUUAUAGCUAUUUGACUAAAUAGUAUUAUAAUACUACUAUCUACUAAAUAAUAGCUGAAUACUUCUAAAUUAGAAUCUAUAUUAGAAUAUAAUGA